UCUCUCUCUCUCUCUCUCUCGCUGGCUCGAGUAGUGCCUCAUUGAUGACCUAAAGCUUAGCUCAAGCUCCCAAGACCAAUGGCCGGCAUAGUGUCAGUGUUCAAUAAGUUCCUCUCUAUUUUUAUCCUCCUCCUCCACCUUGGUUGCUUUAUUUUCACAGCUAAAGAUCAUCAGCCACCGACCAAGAAACGUAAAGUCUCUCUUCUUUCUCCCACAUCUUCUUCUCCAUCUCGCCGAAAGCCUUACAGAGCUCUCUCUUCCUCCUGGUCCUAUCUCAAACGCAUCUUCUCCGCUAAGGCCGACAAAAUCACCAGCUCACAGGCUCAAUCUCCAGUUACGACUCUCACCUCAGCAAGAUCAUCCCAGCAGUCCAUAGUCUCCAUGAUCCCUCCGGAAGAUCACUCAUCCGAUAUUCCUCCACGUAAAAAGACAUCCGGGUCUUGUGAGGAAUCAGAUAUCUCAACUAAUGAUCAGUUCUUUCCUUUGCGAAAUGAUAUCUUUCCGUGCACAGCUUGCGGCGAAAUCUUCCAAAAACCUCAGCUUCUGGAGCAGCAUCAAGCGAUCAAACAUGCGGUGUCAGAGCUUCUAGAUGGAGAUUCAGGGAAGAAUAUAGUCCAUAUCAUAUUCAAAACAGGUUGGUCUUGUAAAGAGAAGAACCCAGAAAUCCAUAGGAUUUUAAAGAUCCAUAACAGUCCAAAGAUCCUAUCAAAAUUUGAAGAGUACAGAGAACUUGUGAAAGCGAAAGCAGCAAGAAAUGGUGGCGCGAAGAGAAGAGACGAAAGAUGCAUAGCAGAUGGUAAUGAGCUGUUAAGGUUUUACUGUUCGACAUUCAUGUGUGAUUUGGGAGCGAAUGGAAAUUCCAGCAUUUGCAACCAGCAAUACUGCAGCGUUUGUGGGAUAAUAAAGUCCGGCUUCUCACCCAAGAUGGACGGAAUUUCUACACUAUCGAGCAGCUGGAGAGCGCACGUGGCGAUCCCUGAGGACGUGGAAGAAGAGUUCAAGUUUAUGAACGUGAAACGGGCGAUGCUGGUAUGUAGAGUUCUAGCGGGUCGGGUCGGGUGUGAACUGGAAGAGGAAGUGGAUAAGGAAAAUGGAGGGUUUGAUUCUGUGGUGGGGAGAGGUGGAAGUGGGGUCCAUAGCAGAGUUGACGAAGAAGAUCUACUGGUGUUUAAUCCAAGGGCCGUGCUUCCUUGCUUUGUGAUUGUGUAUACCGCGUGAUGAUGGUGAUCAUUUAAUAUGGGUUUUAUAUAUAUAUAUAUUUUAUUUAACGUGUGAUGUUGGGGUUGAUAUGAUAUGGUGAAACUUGUUGUUUAUGUUUUACAUGGUCUCUGAACGAGGACAAGUAGUCAUAAGUCAACUCAAUUGCUCAAAAUGAUUAGUUUUUUUCCCCCAAAAUUUGAGCCAUGAUGAAGGGCUUAUAAUAAUUAGUGGGGAUAUAUAUAUAUAUGUGGUGUAAAUCACUCUCCUGUUAGGAUUUGGACUAUUAAUGGAGUAUAUAAUAUGCUUAAUUGUGUAGUUUUUAGUAUGUUAAAGCCCUCAUAUACUAAAUCCAUGUGGGUUUAGAGGUUAGACAUUUUUUUACUACUUUGAAAAGCAAUAGAAGAACAGAUCUACAAUGUUAGGAUGUUGUUCAAUGUAUAAAAAUU
rnacentral:misc_RNA from 1 species